rnacentral:misc_RNA from 1 species
GGUGAAGAACGUAGCGAAAUGCGAUAAGUAAUGUGAAUUGCAGAAUUCAGUGAAUCAUCGAAUCUUUGAACGCACCUUGCACUCCUUGGUAUUCCGAGGAGUACGCCUGUUCGAGUGUUAUGAAGCUCUCAAAACGCAAUUGGCUUAAAACCUGAUUGUUGUUUUGGAUUUGAACUUUGCCGUGUUAUAACGGCUGGUUUUAAAAGUAUUAGCUGGUACUAGAACGAAUUGGUUCUACUCAACGUGAUAAUUAUCUGAUCGUUGAGGACAUUCCUUUCACGAGGAAUGGCCAUAGUAAAUUCAAUGGACUGCUUCUAAUCUGGCUUUAAUUCUUUAUUGGAUUAACCACUUUUCAAAUCUGACCUCGAAUCAGGUGGGACUACCCGCUGAACUUAAGCAUAUCAAUAAGCGGAGGA